GGGUCCGCACCGGGCGCCUCAGCCUGCGGCGCCUCGGCUGAGUCCGCCUGCUCCUGCGCGUCCUCAGGGCGAGCUGCAGCGACGGGCUCCAAGCCUGACUCCUCGGCGGCGGCUGCUGGAGCUGCGAGCUCCGGCACCAGCUCCUUUUCAUCUAGACAGAGGACCAGCUCUCUUUUCGGCAGGAGGAAGGCAAGAGGCUCCUGGACGAGGCCGAUGUUCACAUGCCCAAGGUUUCCGUACUUGGAGAGCUGAGUGGGUGGAAUGCCUGACCCAGAAGGUCUGUGCUAUCUGAGCUGGUGGAAAAAGGACUUGGAGACAGCGAUUUAAAUAAGGAACAAGGUCUUCCAGGAAGACAGUGCAGAACUGGACAAAGAGCUCUUGCUCCCCACUGCUGAAAGCAGCCUCUUCUGCGCGAUGGAAGGCCAGGAUUGUUUUGGUUACCUAGGAGACAAGGGCACCAUCAGUCACUAGAGUAGUCUAUCACCAUCAGCAGUACCUGAAACUAAGCACAAAUGUGCAGCCCUCAAGUUUUCAUAAAGAAAGUCAUUCCAAACAGUA